rnacentral:rRNA from 1 species
AUUCCUGGUGUAGCGGUGGAAUGCGCAGAUAUCAGGAGGAACACCGAUGGCGAAGGCACUUCUCUGGGCCGUAACUGACGCUGAGGAGCGAAAGCGUGGGGAGCGAACAGGAUUAGAUACCCUGGUAGUCCACGCCGUAAACGGUGGGUGCUAGUUGUGGGUUCCAUUCCACGGAAUCCGUGACGAAGUUAACACACUAAGCACCCCGCCUGGGGAGUACGGUCGCAAGACUAAAACUCAAAGGAAUUGACGGGGGCCCGCACAAGCGGCGGAGCAUGCGGAUUAAUUCGAUGCAACGCGAAGAACCUUACCAAGGCUUGACAUAUAGAGGAAACGUUCAGAAAUGAUCGCCCCGCAAGGUCUCUAUACAGGUGGUGCAUGGUUGUCGUCAGCUCGUGUCGUGAGAUGUUGGGCUAAGUCCCGCAACGAGCGCAACCCUCGUCCUAUGUUGCCAGCACGUUAUGGUGGGAACUCAUGGGAGACUGCCGGGGUCAACUCGGAGGAAGGUGGGGAUGACGUCAAAUCAUCAUGCCACUUAUGUCUUGGGCUUCACGCAUGCUACAAUGGCCGGUACAAAGGGCUGCGAUACCGCAAGGUGGAGCGAAUCCCAUAAAGCCGGUCUCAGUUCGGAUUGGGGUCUGCAACUCGACCCCAUGAAGUCGGAGUCGCUAGUAAUCGUAGAUCAGCAACGCUACGGUGAAUACGUUCCCGGGCCUUGUACACACCGCCGUCAAGUCACGAAAGUCGGUAACACCCGAAGCCGGUGGCCUAACCGUAA